AUGUGGAAUGCAGCCAGCAUGCCAGCCCGCUGGAGUCUUUCUUCCGUGAACUUUCUGAAGUACCCCUGUAGAAGCGUCCAUCUUCCUCACCACCGACUUCCUUCUGUGCUGGGCGUUCAGCACAAGGACUGGCACACAGCAGGUGCACGGCACGACUUGGCGCCUCACUCCGCCUACAGAGCUCUUUCCAUCCACGCCUUGGUCUUUCUCUCCGUAUCCUGGCAUUUUUCUCAGUUGUUCCCUCGUGAGGACAAGGUUGAUUUAUCACCAGUGUCAAUGCUGUCCCUUCCCGGAAGUUCUCGGCUUCUGCAGGACAGGGACUACCUCCUACUUCACCCAGUCUCCCCUUGCUGGGAAAACAGUCGGCACUCUUGAGCACCUGUAAUUGUCCGGAGAGACACAAACACUUCAUUCACACAAAUAGAAAUCCUCUGGCUCCCCCCGCAACACCACUGUUUCUAUUUUGUCCCCUUCUAAGUCAGGCUCAUUUCACCCAAGCCAUCUAAGCUAUCUCACGCCGUAGCACCAGAUACAAUUAUACAUGGAGGCAAGAAAUUUCUAUUUUGGUCCCCAGAAAAUUAUGUGAUUUUGCUUAAGUUCAAUUUUAAAACAUGGAAUAUGACUGAACUUAAUGUUAGUACUUAAGAAAAAUGUUCACAGUAAUUACAGCUGAGGAUACAUAUAUGCAAUUUAUUUCAAAUUUAGUAAUACAAAAAAAUUCUGGAUCCUAACAUAACUAUUUAUAACUUGGCCAGGAGAACUCUGAGAAUCCCAGUUAUUUCGCCAGAAUAGGUUAUUCUUCAUGUAUCUUAUUUAAGCAAUAACGCGUGACAGAGUGUGAAUUAUGGCAUAUUAAUUCUCACCUAGUGUGCUAUUAGGCUAACGUUGACGGCCGAGAGCUGUCAGUGCAACUAGGCAUGAAUUAAUAUCUAAUAAUUCCCCUGCCGAAAUGUCUUAUUGAGAUUAUAGCAUUUUUAUUAGUAAAGGUUAUUCCUUUGAAAAUGUUUUUGUGUGCUCUUUGGGGGAAGAGGCUCAGCAUGGCUAAGGGUUACCCACUUUCCCAGCAGCCAUCUCGUGAACUUCUCUUUGACCGUCCCCCCCAACCCCCCCAACACUUGACCCUUGUGGCCACACAAAUAUCGUCUUUUGGAAGUGAUCUCAG
rnacentral:lncRNA from 1 species